AUUGAACGCUGGCGGCAGGCUUAACACAUGCAAGUCGAGCGGGGAAAAGUAGCUUGCUACUGGACCUAGCGGCGGACGGGUGAGUAAUGCUUAGGAAUCUGCCUAUUAGUGGGGGACAACAUCUCGAAAGGGAUGCUAAUACCGCAUACGUCCUACGGGAGAAAGCAGGGGACCUUCGGGCCUUGCGCUAAUAGAUGAGCCUAAGUCGGAUUAGCUAGUUGGUGGGGUAAAGGCCUACCAAGGCGACGAUCUGUAGCGGGUCUGAGAGGAUGAUCCGCCACACUGGGACUGAGACACGGCCCAGACUCCUACGGGAGGCAGCAGUGGGGAAUAUUGGACAAUGGGCGGAAGCCUGAUCCAGCCAUGCCGCGUGUGUGAAGAAGGCCUUUUGGUUGUAAAGCACUUUAAGCGAGGAGGAGGCUCUUAAGGUUAAUACCCUUGAUGAGUGGACGUUACUCGCAGAAUAAGCACCGGCUAACUCUGUGCCAGCCGCCGCGGUAAAAC
rnacentral:rRNA from 1 species